CAUACAGCUCUCCCAUUAAAUUCUAUCGAGUAAACUCUGUUACAUAUUACAUGGCUUCGGAUAGCUUUCAUCGGUGUUUUAGCUCACUUACUAAUUCACAUUUAGAAUUGGCGAGUAGCUACUUUUUACAAAUGGCGGUAUAUUAUUAUUCGAUGAGACACAUACAGAUAGCGAAGAAUAUAAAUUUGCUAAUAUUGCAGAAAAUGCAUCAACGAUUGUAUGUAAUCGAUUGAAACGCGUAUCACGGGCUUAAAAUGUUCAUUAGAUUUCAUUUAACGUCCAAAAUACAAAUCUCUUAUCAUGUAGCACAGAAGCUAGAAAAUUUAAUGAGAUUAAGGAGGUUAAAGAGAAUUUUAUACGCCAUUUUAAAGACACUGUGGCGGCACCCGAUCACGGAAAUUUCCAACGGCUUCGCGACACAAAGCGCUAAUACCAUCGAUAUCCCUACGGUUUUUUCGCCGAAUAUUCGGAAGAAUGCAUACGCGGCAACCGUCGCGGAUUUCUAAUAAACGCGCGCGUAGUGACAACAAAGAAAAAAAUCGGUUUGCUUUCGAACCAAAAGAUUCAUUCUGCUCCGAACUGCGAAAGGUUAAGCGGCAUAGCGUCAAACACAAUUAGAGAAACGCGUUAUUGACUCUUGAUAGUUCAGUGUUAAUCGUUAUUUGUUAUUGAUCGUUGUUAAUCGUUAAUCGUGGUUAAUCGUUAUUUGUUGUUAAUUGUUAAGAGUUUAAUAAACGUUAUUGUUGAAAAUCAAGAGUGUUUCUUGCGGGCACCUUCACCGACGAUCAUCUCAACACAAAUAACGUUGAUGUGUAACGUCAACAAACAUCUACAACCGAAACCUGAACCGCUUUGCACACGACACCAACUUCCAAAACAAAGGAAUAUGAAUUCGGCACGUAGGCAGAAGAUAAACGAACAUUUAGAAGGGCUGGGUCUUGAUCGAGGCUUCAGUCUUUCGGUAACGGUCUAGUCGUAAACUUGUACUCUUAUUAUAGAAUAAAGGUAAAGGUUUCCUGUUAUUUUUUACGUGAAAAUAUAUUGGGCGGUUGUAAUUAGGAAUUAAAUAAGUCAAAAUGCUUUUCUCUCAUUACGUAUUAAAACCUUUCCGUGCUCGCAAUUGACGAUAAUUUCUCCUUAUACCUAUUUUUCUGUUAUGUCGUUGGAUGGCGAUUGAGGAAACUAUAGUUUAUGUAAUAAAUUACAUAAAUACGAUUCCUGGACGGGAUUGGGGGUCUGCGUUACCAAUUAACGAUCGUACAAGAUUGAAUGGUUGGAUCAUGGAUCAUGGAUCGCGUUGAAUCGUCGAUAUUCAAUCAUCAGAAACCUUUCGAACACUUUCACUUUGAUUUGGGACUUGCCCCGAAGAGGGGACAGGCAACUUUACAACGUUUAGGCCAUGCAGAAUUAUCGCUUUAAUAGUUCUAACAAUAUCAUUGCGUUAUACGCGUUAUAACAUUAUUGGAAGAAGAGGAAAUUGAAGUUUCCAUCGACGCGAGCGAGAGCGACAAAAUUGCCACGCGAUCUCUCGCACGUCUACGCUUUACGAAUGCUGAAAACUUUCGUUCGAAAGGAAUUUACCAUCGAAUCUCGACAAUUUACGGUAACAAGAUUAUGAUCGAAUCAUUCGUGAGACGAUGGGUACGGGAAUUCAAUACGAGUAGAGAAACUGUCUGUGAUCGUAAACGUGGUGGCCGGCCGUCUCUCGUUACAGAGGAUCUCAAGAAACGCGUCUGCAAUUCGAGACAGCAAACCGAAAUAUUCGAGUAAAUAAUGAAACGAGCAAUAUGAAUAAACAAUUCCAUUAAAUGUCUAAAAUGUAGAACCUGUUAUCGAUAUCCUUGCUAUGGUGCCGCUAUUUAUGCAGCGAUGGUUUCAAGUGGCUCAAGAUGAAUAAGGACGCGAACUUAUAGCACGCAAAUAUACCUAAAAACGAUCUUCUCAAUUUUCUAACACGUUAACUGCUACGCGUGUUUUCACUGAAAUCUCCGUCAGGCCACGUACAGAAUAUCUUUCCAAAUACCUACGACGAUCCUUCGCAAGUAGUCAAAUAAGCACCACCCGUAUUCGGAGCAGGGGAAAUACUGGAAAGAAGGGGGAGAAAAAAGAUGCAGGCUAUGUAAAAGGAAAGAAGAAGACCCAAGACACGUAAUAGAAGAAUGCGAAAUAACAGGAGGACCAAAGGACACAGAAAAAAUACUAAACGAGACUGGAGAAGGACUAACAGAACUAAAAACAAUAAUUGAGUAGAGAAGGGCAAUACAAGACGGGGAGGAACGACAAUAAGGAAGCACAGUAAGGAGGCAAAAUCCCAAAAGUUGCCAUAGUUUUUAGAGACAGAUCAUAUAAUGGAGUGCAAUAUAAUAGAGUGGAGGUAGAUAUAUAAGAAAACAGAUAUAUAAGAUAUAUAAAGAGAUAAAGAUAUAUAAGAUUGAUAGAACGUAAAAGCGUAAUAGGUAAACGAGUUGUAAAACCGAAAGCUCGCCCAAAGCCGAGAGGCACGGACUAAGCAAUAAUAAAUAAAUAAUAAUAAGUAAUACAAUUAUUCGUUUCACCAUUACCAUAGGUGUUAAAUAGGGCAAUGGUUGUAUCGUAAAAUACCCAAGUAUAUUACGUUAAAGAGAGUAUUAUUUUUUGCACGACCUUCGUACUAUGGAGAGCACUGUAUUUUCGAUAUGUUAUACAUUUUUGCAUGAAACACGCGCUCUGUGUAUUUUUGCGCUUUUACAUUUUUCAUAGAAAUUGCCAGUCAAUUUAUAAUUUGUAUUAAUUUCAUAAAUUUAUCGUAGUAGUUUUAUGUGGUAAUAAGGUAAUAACCAACAACAAUGAGGAGAACGUUGGCUGAUGGUUACGGAUGUUAUCCAGGUAGCCAUCGAGAUUGCAAGUUGACUUUUCUUCUCUAACGAAAUGUACACGAAAAGAUACAAGUACCUCAAUACCUUUUUGUAUGAGAAACUGUAUCGAAUGGCGUAUAAGAAAGUACACGGUUCCAUUUAAAAGAGCAAAAAUCAUGUUGAGACUUAGAUUUCGAGAACUCUUCCACUUAGACAAAUCUGGUGAUGAUCGUAAGACGUCCUCCUCGAGAUGGAACAAGUUUAAUUCGCGCAGUAAAAAGACAGUAGGUUAUUCGAAAAAGUGUUUUAAAUAAACUUGAGCGGAUUAAAACAAGACACUCUGUAUAUGCACGAUAGCAUAGUCAAAAAUUUGUUCACAAAUAUUCGCUAUAUCGUGUGGAGGACAUUGUACGAAACAGAUGAAGAUUGGAAAUAAAAUAACGUUAUUUCAAGACGAUCUAUGAAAGGAUACUCAAAGUUGAAUCCUCAACGAAUCAUUUUAAUCGAUUUCUUAACUUUGAAUGGCAGGAUUUCCUGUGACAUCUUCUGCACCGUCGAAAAUAAAACCGUUCUGUCGUUACAGUGCAACUGUAUACUUCUACCAAGAGAUUUCCAUGGAUAAGGAAACCGUUAGCCACCUCGUUUUAAAACUGAUGAAAUCUAAUGAACUCCUUUAAAUGUAAUCGUUUCGUGCAAAAGAACCCUGGCACAGGCGAUUAAAUGAAUAAUUACAUACAUCACUGUUACAUAUUUCUAAACAUUUAUAUUAUGUAUGUUUAUACAUAUUAGGUCACCCCAUAAGUUCGUGCCGUUUUUCGAGCGGUUAUAUAUAUUAUUUUUUUUAAACACCUAUGAAUCGUUGUUUUGGGUAUUUUCAGAACAUUUGACGUCUCUUGAACCGUCAAACUUCGUGAUUUUUCAACAAGAUACCGAAUUUUAUCUUCGUCUGUCUGAGGAGGACGCCCGGAGCGUUCCUCGUCUUCUAAACAGAAAUUCCCAGCUCUAAAACGUUGGAACCACUUCCUACACGUGCGAGAUGAAAGCGCAUUUUCUCCGUAAACAGCACAUAUGUUUUUCGUGGCAAUUGUUACAGAAUUUCCUUUCCGAAAUUCAUAUAACACGAGAUGUCGAAAAUGGAUACGUAUUUCACUCAUGAUUUUUUACUGUUAGAAGUCACUGUGUUCGCUAUAUUACGAUCUUAUACCCACGAAAAUCUGCUCUAGCCUGUUCUCGAUCAGCUAAGCUCAAGUGCAUUGGUCCCUUAUCGUCGUAUGUUUAUAAAUCGACACAUGAAAUGUAUACGCAAAAAUCAGCACGAACUUAUGGGAUGACCUAAUAUUUAUUAUUUUAUCAUCAAUGUAAUAUUAUAUAAUAAUAAAUAGUAUUGUUAAUAAGCAUGGUGCAGUUAAGUAAGAAAAGUACAAUUAAUAAUAAACAGAAUUUAUUCGUUUGAAAAAGCAAUUAUAUUGAACAAAAAUCAUUAUUAUACUUAUAGAUUAGCGACUAUAAGUUUGAACGAUAAAUCGAUCUUCGUAAAGGAAACUUUCUUGGACAUGAAAAAAGACUAACAACUUGACCGUGCUCUAUGAGAUCAUCAAAUUAGGGAUACAAAGAGAAGAGAACUUUGCGAGAGAGAGAUAUUUGCGAAUAUCGAAAUAUUUCGUUGCCAAUCAAUUGAAAAGUUAUGUAGUUGAUUAAACGGAAAGAAUAAGCAUAAAUUAACCACCUGUUAAUAGUAAUUUUUUGUAAUAAUAUUAUUAAUACAGAUAAUUUUCUAUUUGAAAAUUCACGUGAAAAUUGUAACCGAAAAUGGAAAAAGUUGCGGUAUAAGAAUUAGAAGAUUAUAAAAUAUUUAAAAAAUAACACUAUUCCGUGAUCCUGGAUCGAAUCAACGUUAUGAUAUAUUAAAACUUUGCCAUUCUGCGGAAAUAUGAGGUAUAUAGUACGCUAAUUGUUGUAGGGACGAUCGUAGUCGAAAUCAAUAAAAAGAAACUGAAAACCAAAGAAAGGACGAAGGAGAAAGUAACGAACAGAAUGAAAAAGAGAUAGGGAGGAGAAAGAGAGAAAGAGGGAAAGAGAAAAAGAGAGAGGGCGACGUUUCACUUAGCUAUUU